rnacentral:rRNA from 1 species
AUACGUAGGGUCCAAGCGUUAUUCGGAUUUACUGGGCGUAAAGCGUGCGUAGGCGGCUAUAUAAGUUAGAUGUUAAAUCUGUGGGCUCAACUCACAGGCUGCAUCUAAUACUGUAUGGCUCGAGAGUGGAAGAGGCAAACGGAAUUCCUAGUGGAGCGGUUAAAUGCGUAGAUAUUAGGAGGAACACCAAUGGCGAAGGCAGUUUGCUGGGCCAUUUCUGACGCUAAGGCACGAAAGCGUGGGGAGCGAUCGGGAUUAGAAACCCCGGUAGUCC